CUUUGGGCAAGUGUUAGGGCUUGAGCAACGGACGAACCCAGAAUGCAGACUAGCAGGCAGCAUGAUGGCAAUUUCUAGUAGCCUCCUGGUCUUCACUCCUGCUAAGCAAGGCUCCUAACCCAUGCUCCCUGGUUCAAUAACCUCCUGGAUCUCAACACGACUACCGGCACACCCAAGGCUCCUCACUGGCUCUACACUCCAGAAAUCCUUUCAGCCUCCCUGGAUGCAGUUAUCUCCCUCCAGCCUGGACCUCCGUUCCCACCAUGGCACACCAGACUGAACCACUGAAGCCUCC